GAUGAACGCUGACAGAAUGCUUAACACAUGCAAGUCAACUGUGGCGGACGGGUGAGUAACGCGUAAAGAACUUGCCUCACGGAUAGGGACAACAUUUGGAAACGAAUGCUAAUACCUGAUACUGUGAGAGAGCUUUGCGUCCCAUUAGCUAGUUGGAGAGGUAACGGCUCAUGAAGGCGAUGAUGGGCAGCCGGCCUGAGAGGGUGAUCGGCCACAAGGGGACUGGGACACCACCAUUACUCCUGCGGGAGGCAGGAGUGUGGAAUAUUUGCCGAUGGACCAAAGUCUGAUCAAGCAAUUCUGUGUGCACAGUGAAGUUUUCGGGAUGUAAAGUGCUUUCAGUUGGGAAGCGGUACCGACAGAAGAAGUAACGGCUAAAUACGUGCCAGCAGCCGCGGUAAUAC
rnacentral:rRNA from 1 species